rnacentral:rRNA from 1 species
GACGUAGGGCGCGAGCGUUGUCCGGAUUUAUUGGGCGUAAAGAGCUCGUAGGCGGCUUGUUGCGUCAGCUGUGAAAACCCGCAGCUCAACUGUGGGCUUGCAGCUGAUACGGGCAGGCUUGAGUUCGGUAGGGGAGACUGGAAUUCCUGGUGUAGCGGUGAAAUGCGCAGAUAUCAGGAAGAACACCCGUGGCGAAGGCGGCUCUCUGGGACGGUACUGACGCUGAGACGCGAAAGCGUGGGGAGCGAACAGG